CGAACUGCCGAGGCGUGCACGUGGGCGCCAACAGACGCGCGGCAGGCGAGCUCUGCUGUAGGGUUACCAGGUGCAGCGCCAAUGUUUCCCGGAAUGCGCGGUGUCCACGGACAGAUGCUGUCAGGCGGUUCGUUGGUGGGCGGUUCUAUCGGCGGGCUGGGUGGCUUCGGCCACCACAUGUCGUCGCCGCUGCCCGCACCGACCCCCGACCGCAAGCCCCCCACCCCGCUGUCCUCGCUGCAACCCUCUGCAGCCAUCGCGCCAACGUCGGUACCAUCGACGACAUCAACACCUUGGAUUUGAAAACUUAUUCAAUUCAAACUUCUUAUUGAAAUAUUAAGAAGAAUUCCAUUACGUCACGUCUAUAACAAUCAAGGUCUUGUAAAAAUUAGAGGUUCU
rnacentral:lncRNA from 1 species